CACCUUUCAGGGUCACACCUGGAGAGUUUCCAGUACUCUAUCAGUCUUGGAUACGGGAGGGAGAGUCAAGCAGAGGCCUGCCCAUUCCAUUGUUAGCUUGGACCGUUGCUAGUGAGUGGAAGACAAUCUGCUACAGUC